rnacentral:rRNA from 1 species
UGAGGAAUAUUGGACAAUGGAGGCAACUCUGAUCCAGCCAUGCCGCGUGCAGGAUGACGGCCCUACGGGUUGUAAACUGCUUUUAUACGGGAAUAAACCCCUCUACGUGUAGAGGGCUGAAGGUACCGUACGAAUAAGGAUCGGCUAACUCCGUGCCAGCAGCCGCGGUAAUACGGAGGAUCCAAGCGUUAUCCGGAUUUAUUGGGUUUAAAGGGUCCGCAGGCGGGCUUUUAAGUCAGUGGUGAAAUGCUGUCGCUUAACGAUAGCACUGCCAUUGAUACUGAAAGUCUUGAGUAUAGUUGAGGUAGGCGGAAUAGGUCAUGUAGCGGUGAAAUGCAUAGAUAUGACCU